UGGGGAAUAUUGCACAAUGGGCGAAAGCCUGAUGCAGCAACGCCGCGUGAGCGAUGAAGGCCUUCGGGUCGUAAAGCUCUGUCCUCAAGGAAGAUAAUGACGGUACCUGCAGAAUAAGCUCCGGCUAACUACGUGCCAGCAGCCGCGGUAAUACGUAGGAGCAAGCGUUAUCCGGAUUUACUGGGUGUAAAGGGCGCGUAGGCGGGAAUGCAAGUCAGAUGUGAAAUCUGGGGGCUCAACCCCCAAACUGCAUUUGAAACUGUAUUUCUUGAGUGAUGGAGAGGCAAGUGGAAUUCCUAGUGUAGCGGUGAAAUGCGUAGAUAUUAGGAGGAACACCAGUGGCGAAGGCGACUUGCUGGACAUUAACUGACGCUGAGGCGCGAAAGCGUGGGGAGCAAACAGG
rnacentral:rRNA from 1 species